UGUGAAUGGGAGGCUCACUGCUUUUCGCCUGACCUUCACUAAAACUCUACAAAGUUAGAGUUGCUGAUCAAAUAGAAGAUAUGUCCCCAUACUCACUCACCGGGGAGACUGUGAGCGCUCCCUUCCAGGCAGCUGGGGAUUCGCUGCAGAGCUAGACGUUCUCGGACCAGCCUGGUAACCACCGCUCAGGGAGCCGUGGGGUUUCCAGCGUGUCCGAUCAGAGCGAAACGGCGGACUCGAUCUGAGAAACGCGUGUUUUCAUCUGCAGCUGUGCUGUCAUGGAUCAGGGAAAACAUGCGGAGUAGCAUUAUGUCUAAGUACUUGAGCCCCAGGUACUGUGGACUUGGACUCCAAGAAGCAGACAGAGAAAACAUGAAUGCACUUACGGGGCACGUGUGAUGAAGGGACAAAGGACCGGGGACAGACACACGCGCGCUCACAGGUAUGGAGAGAACGCACCAGUAUAAAUAUUGGAAACGGAGAUGUUAUUAAAGGAAAAACAGAUGGGAGCCACAGUUGCAAAACACCCCAGACCCAGCACUCACAGUCACUUAACCAAGGUUUAAACAGUCCCAAUUUCCUGGAAAUGCUGGCUCUGACCUUAAACAAAACUGCCAUGAUUGAUGGGAUAGAGGUGACAUGAGUGGUCACAAACCUCCCCGUUAGGACAUUUGCCAAGAACGAUACCUUCCUCUCUAGAGUUGUUGACUAGAUCGGCAGCAAAACUCCCCUCCUCUUUCUCUCCCACCCCUGCCCCUUUCCCUCUGUUCUUCCCCCCCACCCUGUUUCUCUGUUUUCUUUUGUUGUUUUCAAUUAUUCAAAGUUCACUGCAGUUUUAUUUAGUCGUAUCAAAACAAAUGGAGAGGAAAACCUGAAGCAGGAGAUGAACAUAAAUUGGGGAAAUCUUGCAAAACCACAGAAUAAUUCUGGUGCUUGCGGAGACAAAGGCAGUGGAAUAGACCCACACUCUCCCUAAGAUAGUGAAGGUCGACAACUUCUGGAAUCAAAACAACAUUUGCCACUUUUUAUCUCUUAGAGUCCAAAGACUGCUGUCAGUUGUAUUGAGAAGUCAGUCUCUUUUUAAUUGGUGUCAUGAAAGAAAAAAAAUGUGUGUGCUUACGUGUGACUGCGUGUGACUGCAUGUCAGUGCGUGUGUGUUUUCAAAAGACUGCUCAUGCCACCUGACAUACAGCUGCUUUCAGUUUUCAAAAUCUAUUCAUAAACAUUAUCUCAUUUAACUAAGAGCAAUUUUGUGGGAUCUACAGAAAAGGCAUCAGCAUCGGUACCGGGGGAAAGAAGAGGAGGAAAAUUUCAACAACACACACAAAAAAAACCUCACUAAAAAUGAGCCAAAGACCUUAAACAGCCACCUCACCAAAAAAGAUAUAUAGAUGGCAAUAAGCAUAUGACAAGAUGCACCCAAUGUCAUCAGGGAAAUGAUCACUAGAACAACUACAUAUGAGAUAUCCCUGCACGUGGAUGAGAAUGGCCCAAAUCCAGAGCAGUGAUGAUGCCACAUGCUGGACAGACUGUGGUGCCACAGGAACUCUGGGAAUGCAAAAUGGUCCAACUGUCAACCAAGCCAUAAAAAGCCAUGGAGGAACCUUAAAUGUAUCUUACCAAGUAAAAGAAAUCAGUCUGAAAAGGCUACCUACCAUAUGAUUCCCACUACAUGACAUUCUGGAAAAGGCAAAACUAGAGACAGUAAAAUAAUAAUAAUAAAAUAAAAAAUAAUCCCUGGUUGCCAGGGGUCAGAGGGGAAGUACAGAUGACAAGGCUGAGCGCGGAGGAUUUUUAGGACAGUGAGACUGUUAUGUACGAUACUACGAGUGUGGGUACAUGGCAUGAUACGUUUGUCGAAGCCUAUAGGAUGGGCAACAUCAAGUGUGCCCCGGAUGUAACCUACGGACUUGGGGUGGUAGUGAGGGGUCCAUGUAGGCUCAUCCAUUGUAACAGAUGUACCCCCCAUGGGAUGGUGACAGUCGGGGAGUCAACACACGUGUGGGGAUGGGGUGUAUAUGGGAACGCCAUGUACUUGCCACUCAGUUUUGCUGUGAACCUGAAACUACCCCCAAAAUUAAAUGACUAAUUAAUAAAAGUAAAUGGCAACAGAAAUCGUCCAGAUUUAACGUGCGUUAGGAGACCUUAAUUGCAAUCACUCCGGGGGGGUUCCAUGUUAGUUUUGUGAGAAAACAUUUAACGAGUUGAUCUUUUACAAUCGCUUCUCACCGUGUUAAUAGAAAACCCUGAGUGGAAAUCAGAAUUCAAUCGUCAGGUCAGUGCAAGUUGAAACCCUGGAUUGCAGGGUAGCUUAAGUGCUUUACACAUGUGUCAAAGAUCAGCUGAUUUAGUUACAGGCUUGGUUGUCUGCCCAGCACGGCAAUAACGAAGGCAUUAUCAGUGGCACCAAUACGGGAUCAGCUUUCCAUUCCAGACGUGUGAAUCACUUCAGGUAUUGGAGCAACAGCACAGGGACUUCUCCCAAAGGCGAGGAUUGCAGCAUGCCUUUGCACAUAGACAAUGAGAUCGGAAAUACUCACUUACACAU